AUUUUUUAAAAAUUAUAUAAUUUUUAAAGUGAUUAAUAUAAAAAAUUAUAUUAUUUUUGUAUUUUUUCAAGAGGUUUUAUGAAAUUUGAACUGAAGAGGAAGAUAAAGUAUAUUUAUAGGUUUUAAAAAAAUAAAAGUUCAUUUUUUGGUACCUUUUGCAUUAGGGUUUUUUAAAGAAAUUAAAAUAUUUUAAUUUCCCGAAGCUAAAAUGAUCUAUUAAUAUAAAAUUUUUUAUGUGGAAAUAUAAAAAUUAAUAUAUUAAUAGUAAUGAAAUUUUAUUCACAUUUGGUGAUAUCUGGUUAUUAUAAUGCGAUUUUAGAUCGAAAUUAUUAAUAUGAUUUUGUUUACAAAAUUUUGUAUAAUUAGGUCUAUGGGGGAUAAGCUUGAUAGAUUUCUUUAUAAAUUAAAUUUUAUUUAAGUUGAGGGAUGAAAUUUUCUUAGUCUUUUUAUAAAGGAUUUUUUAAAUAAAAUUAAAUUAUUUAGUAAGAUUUUUUAUAUGAUUAAAUUAAUUUUUUUUUAAUAAAAUUAUUAAAAAAUAAGUAAAUGAUAUUUUAAAAAUUAAAAUUCAAUUUUAAUUUUUAAGUUUAAAUUUAUAUUAUAGGAAUUCGGCAAAUUAUUUUAAUUGGCUGUUUAUCAAAAACAUUUCAUCUUGAAACAUUAAUAAGAUGUAUGAUCUGCUCAAUGGAAUUUUUUAAAUUGCCGUGGUAUUUUGACUAUGCGAAGGUAUUGAAAUAAGAUUUUAAAUGAGUGCUAAGAGAAUGGUUGAACAAUUAAGAGCUUUCUUUAAUUAAAUAAUUAAAUUUAAUUUUUUUGUGAAGAAGCAAAAAUAAGAAUUAGGGACAAGAAGACCCUAUGAAUUUUGAUUUAAUUUUGAUUUAAUAUUAAAAAAUUAAAUUUGGUUGGGGCGACGGGAAAAGAAUGUUUAUCUUUUUAUAUUUAAUUUUUUUUAAUAGGUUCCGUUUUUAGCGAUUAAAUGAAAAAAAUACUCUAGGGAUAACAGCGUAAUAAUUUUGGAUAGUUCAUAUUGAUAAAAUAGUUUGCGACCUCGAUGUUGGAUUAGGAUUCUUUAUUGGCGGAGAAGUUAAAUAAAAGAAGUUUGUUCAACUUUUGAUUUCCUACAUGAUCUGAGUUCAGACCGGCGUAAGCCAGGUUGGUUUCUAUCUUAAUUAAUUUGAUUAUUUUUUUAGUACGAAAGGAAUAAAAAAUUUUAAUUUUUUUAAUUUUUUAAAAUUUUAAAAAGUUUUUAACUAAUUUGGCAGAAAAAA
rnacentral:rRNA from 1 species